CGGCGCGGCCGGGGGGCCCCGAUCCCGCUGCCGGCGGCGGGGCGGGCGCGGGGCGUGCGGGGGAAGCGGCGUGUAACGGUCCCGGACAGCGGCGGAGUGCGGAGGCACCGCUAGGCGGAGGAGGGAGGCGGCGGCGAGGGAGGCUCCAGGUAGCGGAUAUAACGGUGCGGAGGGAGCCGCGCUCCCGGCGGAGCCGCGGCGGGGGGAAUUACUUUGGCGCUCGCCCGCCCGCCCGACCUCCCCCCUGCGCGCUCGGGACGGCCGUGCCCGGCCCCCGCCCCGGCCCCGCCACCGCCCCGGCGCUGCCCCGCGGGUGACUGACCGUUGUUGCGGCGCGGGUUCGGCUGCUUCCUGCGCUUACACCUGGGGCCAUCCGCCAUGAUCCGCUCGCUGGUGUCUAAAUGCUCCAGUCACCUCCUCCCCCGCCCGCCCCCCUCCCUCCCUCCCUCCCCUCCCCCCCGGACCUGGUUUACGACACUGGGUGGUUUUACUUUUACAUCACCUUCCUACACCUAGUGCUCGCCCGGAACCUUGUUGCCAGGGGUGACCGGGCGCUUUACGGCAGCGCGUUUGAACGGCGGCGGGGGAAAAAGUUGCGCCCGCAGCUCCAAUGGAGAGACAAACAGCUGGACGAGAGUGACGCUGUUCUUGCUGAACCUGCCGUUCUUGCGCUUUCCUGAGUCAUACUUCCCGCUUUCGCGGAGAAGAGGUAUAAAAUUCUAUGCCUCUAAAAAAAAAAUAAUAAAGGGAAAGGAGCAAAUUUUCACGAAUAAUUAAUGGAAGACCUCCUUUGGGCUUAAUAAACUUACUAAAUGUAUUAAAAAUUAAAGCAUUACCGCCAAACGCUUGUGCUAUUUAUUAACUCUUGCUUUUCGCUUCAGGCAAUAAAAUAAUUUAGUGA